UUGCUUGAGGACGACCUCACAGUCGCGUACCUCACUGCAUACCUGCUCACCCUAGAUGCACAAUAUGAUUUCUUGGCCCGUCACCACCGUCAGAUGAUUGCCCGAGCAGAAGAUGCAGAGAAGCGCAAUCGUAAGCUCUAUGUGGAUCUCACCACAGCUCAAGCCCGUGCAACUGCCUUGGAGAGUCGUGAAGUCAUUGCUGUUGAAGCUCUGAAGCAAGCCAAGGAUGAGCACGUCCAGAAGUUGAUGGAGGCCUACUUGGUAACCCACAACCAACGUAGAGCCCUGCGGAUCCAAGAGCCUGCUUCAUCCAACCCAGUUCAAUCCGCUAUGGAUAAGCAAGAGCACCCCGAGUCCUCCCAAGAUCCCCCGCCAGAGUUGUUUGAGCCCCUCACCAUGAAGAAGAUUCCAGCACCGUCCCGUGAGAUCAAAGAAGAAGCUGCAAGCACCCCGCCAGCACCGUCGCCCUCUGAGGAGCUACAAGAGCCAGACUAG
rnacentral:misc_RNA from 1 species